GAUGAACGCUUGCGGCGUGCCUAAUACAUGCAAGUCGAACGGACAGGUCCUGCUCUUGCUGCUCUCUCGUUAGCGGCACGCGGGUGUUUAACACGUGGAUACCCUCCCUGUAUUUCGGGGAUCCUUUCGGAAAUCCGGAGCUAAUCCCGUAUGAUCUCCUGCCCCCCAGGGUUGGUUGGUGAAAUUCGGCGGUUGUGGCUGGUCUCGCGGCUUCUGCGCCUGUUUGUCGGGUUGGGGAGUACCAGGGGUUUGACGGGUAGCCGGCCUGGGAGGGUGACCGGCCACAUUGGGCCUGAGAUACGGCCCAGACGCCUACGGGAGGCAGAAGUGGGGAAUAUUGCAGAAUGGGCGGAAGCCUGAUGCAGCAACGCCGCGUGCGGGAUGACGGCCUCCGGGUUGUAAACAGCUUUCGCCUGUGACGAAGCGUGAGUGACGGUAAUGGGUAAAGAAGCACCGGCUAACUACGUG
rnacentral:rRNA from 1 species